rnacentral:rRNA from 1 species
UACGUAGGUGGCAAGCGUUGUCCGGAAUUAUUGGGCGUAAAGCGCGCGCAGGUGGUUUCUUAAGUCUGAUGUGAAAGCCCACGGCUCAACCGUGGAGGGUCAUUGGAAACUGGGGAACUUGAGUGCAGAAGAGGAUAGUGGAAUUCCAAGUGUAGCGGUGAAAUGCGUAGAGAUUUGGAGGAACACCAGUGGCGAAGGCGACUAUCUGGUCUGUAACUGACACUGAGGCGCGAAAGCGUGGGGAGCAAACAGG